rnacentral:lncRNA from 1 species
UGGAACUGUCGUGGGUUUGGCGGCUCUCUCGUUAUUGAUACUCUUUGCAAUCUCAACACCUGCUUCCAUCCUUAGUUCUUGCUUCUCUCUGCGACCAAGUCAUUAUUCGAUGGGGUGGAUCACUUACUUCGUUCCCUUAGCUACCAAACUAGUAAUAAUAUCGUAGUAGAAUGUAAUAGUGAAAGUGUAGGUGGGCUUGCUUUGGCUUGGAGCUUUGACUACCAAGUCUUUGUAUUCUUCUCUUCUUC